UAAAGAUGAAAAGGACUUUGAA
rnacentral:snRNA from 1 species